rnacentral:rRNA from 1 species
UCCGUAGGCGGUGUGGCAAGUCGGUAGUGAAAUCUCUCGGCUUAACUGAGAGGCUGCUGCCGAAACUGCCAUGCUCGAGUGCGAGAGGGGGCGAGUGGAAUUGCGGGUGUAGCGGUGAAAUGCGUAGAUAUCUGCAGGAACAUCCGAGGCGAAAGCGGCUCGCUGGAUCGCAACUGACGCUGAGGGACGAAAGCUAGGGGAGCAAACAGGAUUAGAUACCCUGGUAGUCCUAGCCCUAAACCAUCAGGACUGGGGUUUGCCCUGUACGGGGCAAGGUCCCGGAGCUAACGCGUUAAGUCCUGCGCCUGGGGAGUACGGUCGCAAGGCUGAA